UUAAUCCUUGUGUCUUUCAGUCUGUUUCUGCCUAUCACAAUGAGUGAUUCAGAACUUCAAGAGCAACUUUUGAACCUUGAUACUCGGAUUGAUCAAGAUUUCAAUUAUAAGCUCAAGUCUUGAUGACAACUUGGUGAUCUGCAGGAAGCAACUCCAGUAAAGACAACUGAACCAAGGGUAUGGUGGAGAAAGAGACACAUUGUGUAAGGAAGGCCAAUACCAAUCUGGAAUCAAUAAAGGCUCAUAGGAACUCCAAUCGUCCCAACUGUGAGAGGGCCUUGCUCCAGUGACUGUUGGAUAUUGGCAUACCAGGAUAGGCGUGGUUUAACUGUUGGGAAGGAGGUUGGAACAGUGCAAUGUUUCCUCUCUUGGAUUGCAGUGACCAGACAUGCUACUGUAACUCUCAUGGUCAUGUGCUGGAAUUAGCAGAUGUUCAACUAUUUGGCCAUCUCACUGACCUGUUGAUAUCAGAAGACCACAACAGCUCUGCAAUGCAAGUUGCAAAACAGAA